rnacentral:rRNA from 1 species
CUACGGGGGGCUGCAGUGGGGAAUAUUGGACAAUGGGGGAAACCCUGAUCCAGCAAUGCCGCGUGUGUGAAGAAGGCCUGCGGGUUGUAAAGCACUUUCGGUUGGGAGGACUGCUUCUAGCACUAAUAUUGUUGGAAGUUGACGUUACCUUCAGAAGAAGCACCGGCUAACUCCGUGCCAGCAGCCGCGGUAAUACGGAGGGUGCAAGCGUUAAUCGGAAUUACUGGGCGUAAAGCGCGCGUAGGCGGCUAGAUCAGUCGGGUGUGAAAGCCCCGGGCUUAACCUGGGAACUGCAUCCGAUACUGUCUAGCUUGAGUACAGGAGAGGAGAGUGGAAUUCCACAUGUAGCGGUGAAAUGCGUAGAUAUGUGGAGGAACACCAAUGGCGAAGGCAGCUCUCUGGCCUGAUACUGAUGCUGAGGUGCGAAGGCGUGGGGAGCAAACAGGAUUAGAUACCCUAGUAGUC